rnacentral:misc_RNA from 1 species
CAGAAUUACAAGCAUUUGAUUUGAUAGGCUUGGUGACUACAUUUUCUCUCCCCUUUCUUUUCUCUUCUGCUGCCACAUUGCUUUGGGAAAUUGGGUGCUAUUCACAACUUCAAAAUAACCAGAAAUUUCUCUGCCUUUCUAAUCAGCUCUAAUACAGUUCCCCUUCUUCCUUAAACAGAACCCCAAAAUAAUAAAUUGCUUUCAAUUUGCCCCACUAUAAAAGAAUUUGCACGCUGGUUCCUAAACCUGACCUAGAUCAAACAUUCUUUACUAGUGACCACUUAAGGUAGUAUGCAAGACACUUCUUAUCAAAAUAGAAAUAUUCAAUAUUUAUGCAGAGACAUUGUAGAAGAG